CACGUAGGUGGCAUGGUAAGUCAAAGGUGAAAGCCCUCGGCUCAACCGAGGAAUUGCCUUUGAAACUGCUUUGCUUGAGUCCGGGAGGGGGGAGCGGAAUUCCUAGUGUAGCGGUGAAAUGCGUAGAUACUAGGAGGAACACCGGUGGCGAAGGCGGCUCCCUGGACCGGUACUGACACUGAGGUGCGAAAGCGUGGGUAGCAAACA
rnacentral:rRNA from 1 species